rnacentral:rRNA from 1 species
UACGUAGGUGGCAAGCGUUGUCCGGAUUUACUGGGCGUAAAGAGCGCGCAGGCGGUCGUUCAAGUCGCGUGUGAAAGCCCCCGGCUCAACUGGGGAGGGUCACUCGAUACUGAUCGACUUGAAGGCAGGAGAGGGAAGCGGAAUUCCCGGUGUAGUGGUGAAAUGCGUAGAUAUCAGGAGGAACACCGGUGGCGAAGGCGGCUCUCUGGACGGUGACUGACGCUGAGACGCGAAAGCGUGGGGAGCAAACAGG